rnacentral:miRNA from 1 species
GUGAUCUCUCUCUCUCUCUCUCUCUCUCUCUAUAUAUAUAUAUAUAUAUAUAGUGAUCUCUCAUAUAUAUAUGGUGAUCUCUCUCUCUCUCUCUAUAUAUAUAUAUAUAUAUAGAGAGAGAGAGAGAGAGAGAGAUCGA